CCGUUAGAUGUUCUGGGCCGCACGCGUGCUACACUGAGUGGAUCAGCGGGUCAGGUUGCGCGAAAGUGUUUCCUAAUCUUGAAAUCCGCUCGUGAUGGGGAUUGACGGUUGCAAUUUUCCGUCAUGAACGAGGAAUACCUUGUAAGCGCGGGUCAUCAUCCCGCGCUGAAUACGUCCCUGCCCUUUGUACACACCGCCCGUCGCUCCUACCGAUUGAGUGGUCCGGUGAGGCUUUGGGAUCUGAGCGGAAAGAGCGUUUCGCUGUUUCUGCUCGGAAAACUCAGUCGAACCUUAUCAUUUAGAGGAAGGAGAAGUCGUAACA
rnacentral:rRNA from 1 species